rnacentral:rRNA from 1 species
CAAGUCGAGCGAGCGGAACCACAGAUUUACUUCGGUAAUGACGUUGGGAAAGCGAGCGGCGGAUGGGUGAGUAACACGUGGGGAACCUGCCCCUAAGUCUGGGAUACCAUUUGGAAACAGGUGCUAAUACCGGAUAAUAAAGCGGAUCGCAUGAUCAGCUUUUGAAAGGCGGCGUAAGCUGUCGCUAAGGGAUGGCCCCGCGGUGCAUUAGCUAGUUGGUAAGGUAACGGCUUACCAAGGCGACGAUGCAUAGCCGAGUUGAGAGACUGAUCGGCCACAUUGGGACUGAGACACGGCCCAAACUCCUAUGGGAGGCAGCAGUAGGGAAUCUUCCACAAUGGACGCAAGUCUGAUGGAGCAACGCCGCGUGAGUGAAGAAGGUUUUCGGAUCGUAAAGCUCUGUUGUUGGUGAAGAAGGAUAGAGGUAGUAACUGGCCUUUAUUUGACGGUAAUCAACCAGAAAGUCACGGCUAACUACGUGCCAGCAGCCGCGGUAAUACGUAGGUGGCAAGCGUUGUCCGGAUUUAUUGGGCGUAAAGCGAGCGCAGGCGGAAAAAUAAGUCUAAUGUGAAAGCCCUCGGCUUAACCGAGGAACUGCAUCGGAAACUGUUUUUCUUGAGUGCAGAAGAGGAGAGUGGAACUCCAUGUAUAGCGGUGAAAUGCGUAGAUAUAUGGAAGAACACCAGUGGCGAAGGCGGCUGUCUGGUCUGUAACUGACGCUGAGGCUCGAAAGCAUGGGUAGCGAACAGGAUUAGAUACCCUGGUAGUCCAUGCCGUAAACGAUGAAUGCUAGGUGUUGGAGGGUUUCCGCCCUUCAGUGCCGCAGCUAACGCAUUAAGCAUUC